rnacentral:rRNA from 1 species
AGAAUCAACGCUGGCGGCGUGCCUAACACAUGCAAGUCGAACGAGAAAGUGGAGCAAUCCAUGAGUAAAGUGGCGCACGGGUGAGUAACACGUGACUAACCUACCCUUGAGUGGGGGAUAACCUAGGGAAACCUGGGCUAAUACCGCAUAAUACCUUCGGGUCAAAGGAGCAAUUCGCUUUAGGAGGGGGUCGCGGCCGAUUAGUUAGUUGGCGGGGUAAUGGCCCACCAAGACUGUGAUCGGUA